rnacentral:rRNA from 1 species
GGUUGAUCCUGCCAGUAGUCAUAUGCUUGUCCUAAAGAUUAAGCCAUGCAUGUCCAAGUAUAAGCGAUUGUACGGUGAAACUGCGAAAGGCUCAUUAAAUCAGUGAUAGUUUACAUGAUGAAGGAAGUUACAUGGAUAACCGUGGUAAUUCUAGAGCUAAUACAUGCAAAAAAUUCUGUAAAGGGAUUGCAUUUAUUAGAUAAAACCAAAUCAAGGCAACUUGAGUUAUGGCGAGUCAUGAUAACUGAGCGGAUCGUAUGGCCUCGAGCUGACGACGCAUCAUUCAAAUUU